UUUCCGUAGGUGAACCUGCGGAAGGAUCAUUAACACUGAUCAUCCCUUUUUCUUUCAACACCUGUGCGAAAACAACAACAACAAAAAAAAAACAAAAAACAAAUGAAACAAAAAGAAAAAAAGAAGGAAGGAAGAAAGAAUCUUUUCUUUCAACUUUCUUUUUCUCUUUCUUUUUCUUUUUCUUUUUCUUUUUUUUUUUUUUUUUCUUUUUCAAAAACCCCAUAAACCUUUUAAACAAAAACCAAAAAAAUAUAUUACAUUAAACAAAAAUAAAAUUAAACAAAAAAAACAACUCUUAACAAUGGAUAUCUUGGUUCUC
rnacentral:misc_RNA from 1 species